rnacentral:rRNA from 1 species
AUUGAACGCUGGCGGCAUGCCUUACACAUGCAAGUCGAACGGUAACAGGUUAAGCUGACGAGUGGCGAACGGGUGAGUAAUGUAUCGGAACGUGCCCAGUCGUGGGGGAUAACUGCUCGAAAGAGCAGCUAAUACCGCAUACGACCUGAGGGUGAAAGCGGGGGAUCGCAAGACCUCGCGCGAUUGGAGCGGCCGAUAUCAGAUUAGGUAGUUGGUGAGGUAAAGGCUCACCAAGCCGACGAUCUGUAGCUGGUCUGAGAGGACGACCAGCCACACUGGGAGUGAGACACGGCCCAGACUCCUACGGGAGGCAGCAGUGGGGAAUUUUGGACAAUGGGCGCAAGCCUGAUCCAGCCAUGCCGCGUGCGGGAAGAAGGCCUUCGGGUUGUAAACCGCUUUUGUCAGGGAAGAAAAGGUUCUGGCUAAUACCUGGGACUCAUGACGGUACCUGAAGAAUAAGCACCGGCUAACUACGUG